UAAACAGUAUGUGUGUAUAGAUGUAGGUAUUAAGCAGUAUGUGUGUAUGGAUGUAGGUAUUAGGCAGUAUGUGUGUAUGGAUGUAGGUAUUAGGCAGUAUGUGUGUAUGGAUGUAGGUAUUGGGCAGUAUGUGUGUUUGGAUGUAGGUAUUAGGCAGUGUGUGUAUGGAUGUAGGUAUUAGGCAGUAUGUGUGUUUGGAUGUAGGUAUUAGGCAGUGUGUAUGGAUGUAAGUAUUAGGCAGUGUGUGUUUAUGGGUGUAGGUAUUAAGCAGUAUGUGUGUAUGGAUGUAGGUAUUAGGCAGUAUGUGUGUAUGGAUGUAGGUAUUAAGCAGUAUGUGUGUAUGGAUGCAUGCAUUAGGCAGUAUGUGUGUAUGAAUGUAGGUAUUAGGCAGUGUGUGUUUAUGGGUGUAGGUAUUAGGCAGUAUGUGUGUAUGGAUGUAGGUAUUAGGCAGUAUGUGUGUUUGGAUGUAGGUAUUAGGCAGUGUGUGUAUGGAUGUAGGUAUUAGGCAGUGUGUGUUUAUGGGUGUAGGUAUUAAGCAGUAUGUGUGUAUGGAUGUAGGUAUUAUUAGGCAGUAUGUGUGUAUGGAUGUAGGUAUUAAGCAGUAUGUGUGUAUGGAUGCAUGCAUUAGGCAGUAUGUGUGUAUGAAUGUAGGUAUUAGGCAGUGUGUGUUUAUG